CUUUUUGAGCAUGAUCAGUAAGGGUAUUUUGAACAUAUGGAUGUGCUCUAUCCAUCCAUGCCUUUGUUGGCAUUUAUGGAGUAGUCUAGCAUGUCAUUUUCAUGCUCUACUUUUGCUUGAAAAUGUUUCCUGGCAGAUUGUUUGCAUGAGAUUCAAUUUUCACGAGGUCGUUGUAGUUGAUCCGUGUAAGCUAUGAUGUUGUUCUUGCCAUGUAUAGCUUCUAUGCCAUGUCUUCUUGAUGGGUGUAUGCUUAGUUUAUCAUGAGAUGCUCUGUAGUGAGUGCAUAGAGCUCACGAACAUGCCUACUUGUUAUCUGUUUUUGCCAUGCCCAGUUUUCUGCUAAGUCUGAAAUCUGUAAUAAAAACUUGCUAUGUUUACAUGGGUGCCACCAUUUCUUAUGGUCCUUUUUGGCUUAUGGUCAGUAAGGGACUAUUGAUAUAUGCUUUGAGUAGAAUCAUGUCAUGCCUUGUUUUGCUAGUAUUUUCACUAAGUCUGUGAACCUGAUAUUUUUUGCACUUUUACCAUGCUUGUUUGAACAUGUUAUGAUGUGAUCUAGCCGUAGCUCAGUGUUCCUCUUUUGAUAAGCAUCUCCUGUAGAUCACUGCCAUAUGCUUUGUUUUUAUGUUGGGGUGCUGUAGCAUAGUUUCUUGUUGCAUGCUAAGUAGCAUCGUGAUGUUAAACGUAGAUUUGUGCCAUUAUUGUUUUGCUUGCCAUUUGCAAACCGUGCAUCCUAUUCCGGUGAUCUUUAUAUCGAUUUCAACCGAAAUCUUCUCAUCUUUCCAGCGGCAUACUUGGUUUGCCAAGUUGAUGCCUGGUUCAUCAUUUUCCUUCCGGAGCAUACAUAUGCAUUGCAUAUCACAUCUCGCAUAGCAUGUCAUGUAUUGCAUCAUAUUGCUUGUGCAUUGUUCCUUGUUUGAUUGUGGUUCCGUUGCUUGUGUUCUUGCUUUGGGUAGAGCUGGGAGACGAGUACGUGUACGAGGAACCUGUUGAGAACGCCUACGAGGAUCAAGCCUUCGACAACUCUGAGAACCUUGCAGGCAAGAUGACCAUACCUUCGAUAUCACUUCUAUCUUUGCUUGCUAGAUGCUCGCUCUUUUGCUAUGCCUAUGCUGCGAUACCUACCACUUGCUAUAUCAUGUCACCCAUAUUGCCAUGUCAACCUCUAACCAUCCUUUCCUAGCAAACCGUUGAUUGGCUAUGUUACCGCUUUGCUCAGCCCCUCUUAUAGCGUUGCUAGUUGCAGGUGAAGAUGAAGUUUGUUUCUUGUUGGAACACGGAUAUUUUGGGAUAUCACAAUAUCUAUUGUUUUAAUUAAUGCAUCUAUAUACUUGGUAAAGGGUGGAAGGCUCGGCCUUAUGCCUGGUGUUUUGUUCCACUCUUGCCGCCCUAGUUUCCGUCAUACCGGUGUUAUGUUCCCGGAUUUUGCGUUCCUUACGCGGUCGGGUGAUUUAUGGGACCCCCCUGACAGUUCGCUUUGAAUAAAACUUGUCCAGCAAGGCCCAACCUUGGUUUUACCAUUUGCCUCACCUAGCCCUUUUUUUCCCUUGGGUUUCCGGAGCCCGAGGGUCAUCUUUAUUUUACCCCCCGGGCCAGUGCUCCUUGGAGUGUUGGUCCAACCUGAGCGAUGUCCGGUGCCCCCUGGGCAACCAGGGUCUAUGCCAACCCGUCGUCUUGCUCAUCCGGUGUGCCCUGAGAACGAGAUAUGUGCAGCUCCUAUCGGGAUUUGUCGGCACAUCGGGCGGCUUUGCUGGUCUUGUUUUACCAUUGUCGAAAUGUCUUGAUGUACCGGGAUACCGAGUCUGAUCGAAGUGUCUCGGGUGAAGGUCUAUUCCUUCGUUGAUCGCGAGAGCUUGUUAUGGGCUAAGUUGGGACACCCCUGCAGGGUAUAAACUUUCGAGAGCCGUGCCCGUGGUUAUGUGGCAGAUGGGAAUUUGUUAAUGUCCGGUUGUAGAAAACCCGAAGUUGACCUUAAUUAAAAUACAUCAACCGAGUGUGUUACCGUGAUGGUCUCUUCUCGGCGGAGUCCGGGAAGUGAACACGGUGUUGGAGUUAUGUUUGACGUAAGUAGUUUCAGGAUCACUUCUUGAUCGCUACUAGCUUCACGACCGUGCCUUGCUUCUCUUCUCGCUCUCUUUUGCGAUGUAGCCACCAUAUAUGCUAGUCGCUUGCUGCAGCUCCACCUCUUUACACCAGCCUUCCCUUAAGCUUAAAUAGUCUUGAUCUCGCGGGUGUGAGAUUGCUGAGUCCCCGUGGCUCACAGAUUCUACCAAAACAGAUGCAGGUACCGACGAUACCAGCGUAGAUGGCGCAACUGAGCUGAAGUGGGAAUUUGAUGAGGCCCUUGGUCGUUACUAUGUUUCAUUUCCAGACGAUUAGUAGUGGAGCCCAGUUGGGGCGAUCGGGGAUCUGUGUUGCAUUUGGGGUAUUCUUCUUUUAUUUUGGUUUCGUAGUCGGACCUUGAGUGUAAUCUGAAUGAUGGAUGUUUAUUUAUGUAUUGUGUGAAGUGGCGACUGUAAGCCAACUAUGUAUCUUUUCCCUUAUGUAUUACAUGGAUUGUGCGAAGAUUACCUCACUUGCGACAUUGCUUUCAAUGCGGUUAUGCCUCUAGGUCGUGCUUCGACACGUGGGAGAUAUAGCCGCAUCGAGAGCGUUACAAGUUGGUAAUCAGAGCCAUCCCCGACCUUAGGAGCCCCCACUGCUUGAUCGUUUUUAGCGGCCGAGUUGUGUCUAGAAAAAUGUUUUGAGUCAUUUAGGAUUAUAUAUAUCGGAGAGUUAGGAAUUCUUUUACUCCUCAGUCCCUUCGUCGCUCUGGUGAGGUCUCCUGACGUAGAAGUUUUGACUUUCCUCUCCUCAAAUUUCACUAAAAUUUUUUUUAGGAUCACGCGGGUAUCUUAGAAUCGUUCCGAUUGUUUUAUGAUGACAACAUUGUCUUGGUGCCUCCCGUCAGCAGGGGUUUAGUGGAGGUGUCCCGGGGAGUUGAGCUCUGAGGUGUUGUCGUCAUAAUUUUAUCGUUGCAAUUCUGGAAUACCUGAGUUUAGUACGCCGACAUUGAAAAUCUCUUUUAUGCAGUCCGUUGGUGAGAUAACCCCGCUAACCCAGUACUGAGGUGAGUACGGGAGUAUUGCCAUGACUCGCAUAACGGAUGCUUUUCGAAGGUUGAGGUACACGAUUUCCGAAGGUUUCUUGGUUAUGUGUUGAAGGAUGGAUACAGCUGGAUGUAGGGAUUGUUAGUUUGGGUGAGAUAUAUUGCUUCCCCUGUAUCCCCAACACCUGAUUGCAUAACCGGAAAGUUUCGGGAGUUUAUAGGUGGGAUUCAAGUAGCUCUAGCACUUCUUCCGCAGAUAUUUGGUUUGUGAUUGGGUAAUCCUUACCACUUAUUUGUUCCAUUCAUACCUUGUUUUUAUUUUUAUUCAUCAAUCUCUUAUCAAAUGGCUUCUCACCUUUAUGGACGUGAUGUUUACUUUGGAAUUCAUUCGUUCAUCCCUGUUCGAAUGUUUAUUGUGAAGACUAUAUGUUGCAAUUUCUAUCCAUUGAUUCAAAUUGUCUAUCUGUCUAUCAAGAUGCUAACGGAUGUCACCCUCUUCAGGAUGGCUCCGCCAACGCGUCAGAAUCCGGAACGCAGUGAUGGGAGUCAGGCGAACCCUCCACCUCCACCUCCGCCUCCGGAGGCAUGGCAAACUUUGAUGGCAACCACUAACGCCAACGCUCAGUUGUUGAUCCAGCUGAUGCAAGAGCGUAACCAAGGCCAAGGCAACCAAGGGAAUCAAGGUCAAGGGCAGUUCUUCCAUCAGCCACAGUUUCCUACCCUCAACCAGUUCCUGGCAAAUCAGCCAAAGUCUUUCAGCUACUGUGUCGAGGCCACAGACGCCGACGAUUGGCUCGUGGAUAUCAACAAGCAUUUCGAAUGCAGCAAUGUCAGACCUGAGGACUACGUCAAGUUCACGUCUUUUCAGCACAAGGAUCAGGCAGCUGAUUGGUUCCAGCAAUACAAGGAUUCCAGAGGUGGUCGACUGAUUACUUGGACUGACUUCUGUCGGGACUUUAAAGCUCACCACAUUCCUACCAGUGUUGUUGAGAGCAAGCGUGAGGAGUUCCGCAAUCUCAAGAAAGGAAACAUGUCAGUGUACGAAUACAACAUACAGUUUCAGAAACUUGCUCGCUUCGCUAAACAAGACGUUCCUGACGAAAAGAGUAUGAUCUAUCAGUUCAGAGGUGGCCUUAGAGAGGAUCUGCAGUUAGCUCUUGUUCUUAUUGAGCCUACUCAGUUUGAUCAAUUCUAUAAUAUGGCACUCAAGCAAGAAGGUGCUCAGCUCAAGUGUGAGGCUUCAAAGAAGAGAAUCAGGGAUGCAGUUCAGUCUUCUUCCUCUCAAGGUGCAGCUAAGCAGCAAAAGUUCUACCUUCCUCCUCCGUUUCGUCAGCCUUAUCAGCAGAAGAACUCAGGUGGUCGUGGAUCUUCCCACCCACCCAACCCAAGCUACCAGAACAAGUCUCAGCCUCAAGUUCUCGGGAUGGACUGGCUUUCUCAGCACAAGGCUCAGCUUGAUUGUGCUGCCAGGCAAAUUCAAUUGACACACCCUUCUGAGGAUGUUAUCAUCUAUGCCGCUCGUGUUGAAACCAUUCGGUUGUUUUCUCUCAAUGAGAAGGGCGAGUUGGAUGCUAUCUCACAAAUUCCAGUCGUUUGUGAGUACCAAGAUGUCUUUCCAGAAGAGCUUCCGGGUAUGCCUCCGCAUCGGCCAGUCGAAUUCGUUAUCGAUCUUGAGCCUGGCACUGAACUCGUUUGCAAGUGUCCUUACAAGCUUGGACCCAAGGAGCUGAAAGAAUUGAAGAAGCAUCUCGAUGAACAAGAGCGUCUGGGUUUGAUCAGACCGAGUUCAUCUCCAUGGGGAUGUGGAGUUCUUUUUGUCCAGAAGAAGGAUGGCACGGACCGACUUUGCGUCGAUUACCGUCCAUUGAACAAGAAGACAAUCAAGAACAAGUAUCCACUUCCCAACAUCAAUGAGCUAUUCGAGCAACUCAAAGGUGCUAAAGUAUUCUCCAAGCUUGACCUCCAUAUGGGUUAUCAUCAGAUUCGCAUUCGUGAACAAGAUAUUCCCAAGACAGCAUUCAGAACAAGCUUUGGUUCUUAUGAAUAUACUGUCAUGUCUUUCGGCCUUGUCAAUGCUCCUCCAACAUUCUCUUGCAUGAUGAACUUUAUCUUCAACCCCUACACCAAUGAUUUCGUCUUGGUGUAUCUCGAUGAUAUUUUGGUCUUCUCCAAGAACAAGCAGGAUCAUGCCAAACAUUUGUGAUUGGUACUCGACAAGCUCAGAGAACAUCAAUUCUAUGCGAAGUUUUCCAAAUGUGAGUUCUGGCUUGAUGAAGUUCUUUAUCUUGGUCAUAUCAUCUCUGCCAAGGGAAUUGCUGUUAAUCCGGCGAAGGUUUCUGCGGUUCUGGAUUGGGAACCUCCUCAGAAUGUCAAGCAACUCCGCAGUUUUCUUGGGCUUGCAAGCUAUUGCCGAAGAUUCGUUGAGAACUUCUCUAAGAUUGCAAAGCCUCUUUCCAACCUCCUCCAGAAGCAUGUCAAGUAUGUAUGGAUGCCUGAGUGUGAUGUCGCUUUCAACACCCUCAAAGAGAAGCUAGUUACAGCUCCUGUCUUGACUCCUCCUGAUGAAUCCAAGCCAUUCGAAGUUUUCUGUGAUGCUUCCUUGCAAGGACUCGGUGCUGUGUUAAUGCAAGAGAAGAAAGUUGUGGCCUAUAUCUCUCGCCAGUUGAAUCCCAACGAAAAGAACUACCCCACUCACGAUCUUGAGUUGGCGGCAGUUGUCCAUGCAUUGAUAACAUGGAGACAUCUCUUGUUGGGAAGGAAAGUGGACAUUUUCACCGAUCACAAGAGUCUCAAGUAUAUCUUUGUCGGUGUACUAAAGUAGGGGGUACCUUAGUACCCCGAACUUGUGCACGGGCAGUCGCAGCACCCCCGUGGCGGGGCUUGCCGGGCGCCCGGCAAGGCCCUCCACUCUUUAGUACUGCCAUUCAGGAACAAAGUACUAGCCAAGAACACGAAGGCCCCGGCAAGAGGAGCUUGCUGGGGAGGCCAACCAGGGCAUCACCAGAAGACUUGCCGCGGCGCCCCGCGCGCCCCGGCAAGGCCCGGCGGCCGGCAAGCUUGCCGGCACAACAAGAAAAGGGCCGCGGCAAGGCACUUGCCGCGGCAAGGCUGCCACCCGAACUCCAGCGCACCCGGCGACGUGUCGUUACAAGGCCAUCCCAAGGGCACGUGGUGAGGCGCUACGCAGCCAUGCGGAGCGAGGUGGCAAAUGGAGCUGACAGAGGCGCCAUCGUGGCAACCAGUGGCUCACCUAACGGUCGUUUCUUUACACUCUUGGGGCGACCAGACGGGCAUUUAAUGCCCUUGUCCCCUACCGUCAGAGUUAGGUAGGGGCACUGUUGUGCACUGUUGUACCAACACGCGUUUUUACCUUUCUACCCCCUCUUCCUACGCUGCCACCUGUGGGUCCCCCCUUCAGACUAUAAAAGGGAGGCCCAUGCGCACGUAGAAGGGGUUCGGUCCAUUCGACACCCACAUAACCACCAUACGCUCGCACGCUCGAGCAAGAUCAAAUAACAAACACAAAGCAGCAGUAGGGGUGUUAUCUCUCCGGAGAGCCCCGAAGCUGGGUAAAGAUUGCCCGUCUCCCCGCGCGCGCUCGACCUCGAUCUGCUCUGCGCACGAUCCCCGCUCCCUUGCCGAACCAGAAGGGGCCCCCAGUGCCCCAUAGGUGCUCGAGGCCACAGAGAUACGCCCCGACAUCUUUGGCGCGCCAGGUAGGGGGGCGUCGAGGUCGUGAGCACCUGAUCCGGUCUCCACGCGCGCUACAACAACAUCAUCGUCAACAUGCCACCGAAGAAGAAGCCUUCGGAGGUGGCUGCUCCAUCUACAUCGAUUCCGCCACCACCGCUGGAGCAAACAGGCGGUGGAGUGGACGCCGGCGGAGGAGCGGGCGCCGCCGGUGGGUCUCGUGUCGUCACCAGAUCCAAAAACAAGGCCCCGCAAGCGUCGGCGACCGAGCAGACACCGCACCCUUCCCAGGAGGUGCAAGGUCAACAACGCCCCGGUGCUCCUAGCACCGUGCUCGCAUUGGAACAAGGCCAAGCUGGUGGGUCGCAGGACGCUCGAGGUCAGCAUGCACGCCCGCAUGCUGGCGCGAGCGAGAUACGGUCGCCCGGACGGGGUGAUGCACCUCCCAAUCCAGUUGGGAGUCCGAGCACAUCUCGCUCCUCGCGCCGUUCGUCACCACCGCCACCCAAGACAGCAGAGGAAGCGCUGGCCCGAGCCCAGCUGCUUCUAGACUACCCUCCGGCGCCGCACAAGAUCGACGACUGGAGGAUGACCAUUUACAGCCUCAUCGGCUUCGCCAACGGCGACAAACCCCGGCGACCGAGCGCGUCGAGGCCCCGGCAAGGCGCCCAGGCACAAGCCGACGCCGACAAGACCGCUGGGGGUGCCACCUCUAUGCACUCCCAGCCCCGAAGGCCAAGAUCGCCAGCUCGCCGUACCAACCCCGACGGCGACUCCACCGCGUCGUCGGACCCGUGAACUCGCCGCGAUCAACGCCAUGUUCUCCAAGAACGACAACACGAAUACGCUCGCACUCGCAUCGAGCGCCGGAGAGAAGCGCGACGUCAAUCUGACCAGCGCGCUGGGCCCGCUGUCGACGCGCACGCACCCGGAGAACCAGGCGACUUGUCGUACGCGGCAGGUUGCCCUGCAUUCACCCGCGAGCUGCGGCAAGUCCAGUGGCCCAAAACCAAGAACUUCAAGCCAGACGUGCCCGAGAAGUACGACGGCAGGAUACACCCGUCGGAGUUCCUCAGCAUCUACACCAUCGCGGUGCAGGCUGCCGGAGGGCGCGAGGAGAAGAUCCUCGCCAACUACUUCCCGCUGGUACUCAAGCCUAACGUCAGAUCUUGGCUCAUGCACUUGCCGGACGGCUCCAUCUCUUCAUGGGCGGACCUGUGUCAUCAGCUUGUCGGCGCCUUCACGGGUGGCCACAAGCCUCAUGGCCAGGAGAGUGACCUCCACUUGCUCGUCCAGAAGGAGGAGGAGCCCCUGCGCAAGUACAUACAAAGAUUCAGCCAGGUGCAGCGCAACAUCCCAGACGUCCACCCUGCCGCGGUUAUUAGCGCGUUUCAUCAGAACGUGCGUAAUCGCAGGAUGAGGGAGGAGAUGGCGAUGAGCAAGAUCAGAGAUGUCAGCGAGCUCUACGCUCUGGCCGACAAGUGUGCACGGGCUGAGGAGGGGAGGAAAAUCCCCGGAGAGGUUGCCGGAGCAGAAGGAUCUGACAGUGAGGAUGCCGCCCCGGCAAGGAAGAACCGGAGGCGGAACAAUAGGAAGAGAAAAGCUAAGGAUGUAUUGGCUGUUGAGCAUUCCGGCAACGGAGGCGGCUCCGACAAGGCCAAAACCGACGACUCCGGCGAGGCUGUGGCAGCCGCCGACAAGCAGGACGGCUCCGGCAAGCGAUAUUGCAAGAUCCACCGCACCAAGGGCCAUGACCUCCAAACCUGCAAAAAAGUAGAGCAGAUGGCGGAGCUGCAAAAAGCUAAGUAUGAGCACCGCGAUAAGGAGAGAGCCCAGGGAGGUGGCGGAGGGUCCGGCAAGAAGCUUCCCGCCCGGGGGGACACCGCGGCAAGGCUAAGCCGCGGCAAGGAGACAGGCCUCCCCGCGGCCGCGACAAGGACGAAGAUGAAGAUGAGGAUGAAGAGAUGGAGGAAGAUGAGGCUGAUGAUCAAGAGUUUCAGAAGGCGACAGAAGUGUUGUGCAUCGACGGCAGCGCCUCCCUGCACACCUCGCACCGCCAACUCAAACAGUGGGUGCGAGAAGUGAAUGCAGCGGAGCCAUCCGUCGAGGCACGCAGGCCUCUGAAGUGGUCCAGCACGCCCAUCGUCUUCGACGUUGAGGACCACCCUGAUCGCAUCACUGCGGUCGGGUGCUUGCCGAUGUUGGUCUCACCAACAAUCCGCAACCUCAAGGUCACGAAGAUGCUGGUUGACGGCGGGGCCGGCCUGAAUUUGAUUUCCUCCGUAGUGCUCAAGAAGCUCCAGAUCCCCGACAGCGAGCUCGAAGAAACUGGUGCCUUUCAAGGAAUAAAUCCGGGAAGGAGCAAGCCCAAGGGGAAGAUCACAUUGCCAGUGACGUUCGGAAGCGAACUGAACUUCAGGACUGAGAGGGUCACGUCCGAUGUGGCUGAUAUCCCCUUACCCUACAACGGGAUACUCGGCCGACCCGCACUCGCCAAGUUCAUGGCGGCCUCUCACUACGCGUACAAUGUGCUCAAGAUGCCCGGCACGAUGAGUGUCAUUUCUGUCCAAGGCGACAAGAGGGAUGCACUCAUCUGCACCGACAAGAUCUACCGGGAAGCAGCGGCCGCAGCAGAGCGCGAGCCACUUGCCGUUGAAGCUCCCCGGGGGAAGAAGAAAGCCAAGUACGGCAAGGAUAGCUCUGGUGCUCACUCCGGCAAACGCACCUUCCCGGAGCGCUGCGCUGCCGUCGAGGACACACCAUCGAGCUCCGCCGGCAAUUACAAGAAGGCAAAGAUAACCUCGCCGGAGACCAAAAAGGUGGCCGCCAAGGAGGACGGCACUGGUGGUACUUUCACCAUCAGUGCCACGCUUGAUCCUAAAUAGGAAAGCGCGCUCGUUGCUUUCCUGCGGGCGAAUGUCAAUGUGUUUGCAUGGCAACCAUCUGACAUCCCCGGCGUUCCCAGGGAAGUAAUCGAGCACCACCUUGCCGUCUGCCCUCACGCGCGGCCCGUCAAGCAAAAAGUCAGGAAGCAAGCAAUAGAGCGUCAAGAGUUCAUAGCAGAGGAGAUCAAGAAGUUGGAAGCAGCAGGCCUGAGCCGAGGAGUACUCCAUCCAACGUGGUUAGCCAAUCCCGUAGUCGUGCGCAAAGCAAACGGGAAGUGGAGGCUUUGUAUUGACUUCACCGAUGUGAACAAAGCUUGUCCCAAGGAUCCAUUUCCCUUGCCGCGCAUUGACCAGAUUGUCGACUCCACAGCAGGAUGUGAUCUGCUUUCAUUCCUUGAUGCAUACUCGGGAUAUCAUCAGAUCUUCAUGGCUGAAGAGGACGAAGAGAAGACCGCGUUCAUUACUCCAUGUGGCACGUACUGUUUCGUACGGAUGCCUUUCGGACUAAAGAAUGCUGGUUCGACAUUUGUGAGAGUGGUCAGUCAUGCUUUUGAGCCACAACUACACAGAAAUGUAGAAGCUUACAUGGAUGACAUAGUGGUCAAGAGCAAGGACAAAGAGACUUUGAUCCAAGACUUGGACGAGACUUUCACAGAUAUGCGCAAGAUCAACCUCAAGUUGAAUCCCGAGAAGUGCGUGUUCGGAGUUCCUUCCGGCAAGCUUCUCAGAUUCUUUGUGUCACAGAGGGGGAUUGAAGCCAAUCCCGACAAGAUCAGGGCCAUCGAGCAAAUCGAAGCACCGAAGCGGGUCAAGGACGUACGAAAGCUUGCCGGCUGCGUUGCUGCCCUCAGCAGGUUCAUUUCCAAGUCCGCUGAGCGCGCCCUGCCGUUUUUCAAAAUCUUGAAAAAGGCAGACCCGAUGAGAUGGACUCCGGAAGCGGAGGCUGCGCUGCAGGACUUGAAGAAAUAUUUGUCCUCCACUCCAACACUUGUCGCGCCUAAGCCACAAGAGAAGUUGCUGCUAUAUCUGGCGGCAACUAAUCAAGUGGUUAGUGCUGCGUUGGUGGCGGAGAGAGAGGCAGAUGACGAGCCAGCGGCCGCGGCAAGCAAGUCCAACGACAAGCAGGGGGCUUCCCCGACAGGCUCUGGCCCGACAAGCCCUGAUCCGGCAAGUUCUGGUUCCGGCAAGGAUGCGCCUGCGCAGCCACAAGAAGAAAAGCAGAAGAAGAUGGUGCAGCGUCCAGUUUACUUUGUCAGUUCCCUUCUGCAGGGGGCUAGAUCAAGGUACUCUGGUGUGCAGAAGUUGCUUUUUGGCCUCCUCAUGGCCUCGAGGAAGCUGCGCCAUUACUUUCAAGCACAUGAGAUCACAGUGGUCACUCGCUUUCCGCUGAAGAGGAUGUUACAGAAUCUGGAAGCGACAGGCAGGAUUGUCGAGUGGGCACUGGAAUUAUCAAGCUUUGGCCUCAAGUUUGAAAGUACUUCAACCAUUCAGAGCCGAGCAUUGGCAAAAUUUAUAGCAGAAUGGAUGCCAACACCCGACGGAGAAACUCCGGAGGGGAGCAUCCCCGUCAAGGAAGCAGACAAAGAAUGGAUCAUGUACUUUGAUGGUGCCUUCUCGCUGCAAGGCGCUGGCGCGGGCGUACUACUUGUCGCACCCACCGGGGAGCACCUCAAGUACAUGGUCCAGAUGCACUUUCCCAAGGAGCAAGCAACCAACAAUACUGCAGAAUAUGAGGGCUUGCUUGCCGGACUCAGGAUCGCGGCAGAACUUGGGAUCAGGAAGCUUAUUGUAAGGGGUGACUCACAGCUUAUCGUCCGCCAAGUUAACAAAGAUUAUCAGAGUCCGUUGAUGGAAGCGUACGUUGAUGAAGUGAGGAAGCUAGAAGAACAUUUUGACGGCCUGCAAAUGGAACAUGUUCCAAGAGCUCAGAAUGACAUUGCAGAUAGCCUGUCAAAGUGCGCCGCACUCAAGUUGCCUGUGGAACCAGGGAUUUUUGUGCUCAAACUAACUCAGCCGUCAGUGACACCAUCAACUAGACAAAGCAAGAAAAGAAAGUUGGUUAUUGGCGACUACUUUCCGACAGAGCUUCCCGAAGCCGCCGCCAAGAAGGUCCCCAGGAUCAACACAGAAAGUGCUGAGGAGCGAUCUGCUCCGGCAAGCCCCAGGGUCUGUUUCGUUGAGGCAGGCGCUCCCGACAAGCUGUGUCCCGACACGCUUGCUGGGGAGCAUCACGCUCCGGCCGGAUCCCAGAUCCUUGCCGUGGAAGCGGAUGUUCCCGCAGAAGCAUUUGCGCCUUUAGUCCUUGCCGUCGAGCCUCAGGCUCCGGCAUGGGCACAGCAAAUCGUCCAUUUCCUUCAAACAGGGGAACUUCCCGAGGAACAAGAAGAAGCAGAGAGAGUAGCCCGACAAUCGAGUAUGUACCAGUUUGUCGAUGGCAUAUUGUACAGAAGAAGAUUCAACGGAGUGAAAUUAAAGUGCAUUUCCCGGGAAGAUGGACGGCAGCUGUUGGCGGAGAUACAUGGAGGCAUAUGUGGUCACCACAUUGGCGCAAGAGCACUUGCCGGCAAGCCUUUCCGGCAAGGCUUCUUCUGGCCGACAGCCCUCCAGGAUGCAACUGCACAAGUAACCAAGUGUGAAGCGUGCCAGUUCCACUCCAAACAGAUUCACCAACCAGCUCAAGCUCUCCAAACAAUCCCUUUAUCCUGGCCAUUUUCGGCUGGGGCUCGACAUCCUCGGCCCUUUUCCCCGAGCUGUCGGGGGCUUUGAGUACUUGUACAUUGCAAUCGACAAGUUCACAAAGUGGCCUGAAGUGGAACCAGUGAGGAAGGUGACAGCACAGUCAGCAGUCAAGUUCUUCAGGUCAAUUGUUUGCCGUUUCGGAAUCCCCAACAGGAUCAUCACCGACAAUGGCACACAAUUCACGAGCCACACCUUCAUGCAGUACGCCCAAGAUCUUGGCACCAAGAUUUGCUUUGCUUCUGUUGCUCACCCGAGAAGCAACGGUCAAGUGGAGAGGGCGAACGCUGAAGUGCUGCGCGGGCUCAAGACCAGAACUUUCGAUAGGCUGCACAAGUGCGGAAGAAAUUGGAUCGAGCAGCUGCCGGUGGUUCUUUGGUCGAUCAGGACGACGCCAAAUCGAGCCACCAGCCAGACACCCUUUGCUCUCGUCUACGGAGCAGAGGCAGUUCUCCCCACGGAACUCGUAUACGGGUCACCACGAGUGCUCGCUUAUGAUGAGCUUGAGCAAGAGCAGCUGCGACAAGAUGACACGCUGCUCCUCGAGGAGGAUCGUCUUCAGGCUGCUGUGCGAGCUACUCGUUACCAGCAAACUUUGCGCCGCUAUCAUAGCCGCAAAGUUAACGCCAGAAGCUUCGAGGAAGGCGACCUUGUUCUUCGGUGAGUUCAAUCGGCCAAGAAUUCAAACAAGUUGACGCCAAAGUGGGAAGGCCCUUACCGGGUGAAACGAGUCACUAGGCCCGGCGCUGUCCGCCUUGAGACCGAAGAUGGCGUUCCAGUGAGCAACUCCUGGAACAUAGAACAUCUUCGCAAGUUUUACCCAUAAGGCGCGGUUACCGGACCCAUUCCGGCAACCACCUUCUUCUGUACAAGCAUUGCCGCUGUCGCAUAUAACCCUUUGUACAAAGCCGGGCGCAGCCCCCGUGCGUAAAUAAAGUUCACGUGCUUCGCACAUCUUGUCAAAUUUAAUGCAUUAUCUUCUUUUUGCAUCUGUAUCUGACACUCUGUGCAGCACAUAACCCCCGGUAAGCAAUAGCGAACCUUAAGGUUCCAUACGAUUAUUUUCUCUUCUUUCUUCUCAUAGACAGAAGAUUCCUCCGCCCACAAGUUCACCGGGGGGAAGGGAAGGUAGAAGUAUGGAACAGGCGACGUUCAAAGGAAUCUAGCCUUGCCGGGACACAGAAGACAGAAAAGCUAAGUAGCCAAAGAUUGAACCUAGUCAAUUUUAAAUUUUCAAGUUAUAUCCCUUGAACGUUCGUGCCUUGUAUGGAAAACCUGUGCGCGGAGGAAUCGACUCGCGACCAAGUUGCGCCCUUGCGUUGUUUCUGAGCCCGCUCAACAAUGCGAGUGGACUGCAACUAGUCCCGACAAGAUUUCUUGCCGGAAGAAGCGUCACCACAAGCUGCUGAUGUUCCGCACUCAGCAAGUGUGCUCGCACCGGCAAGGUCCCUCAACGCGUAGGGCAAAAAGCAUACAAGGGAUGCAACAGAAUAAAGGGAAUAGCGCGGCAAGCAGUAUCCAUAAUUAAGUUAUAUUACAAGAAUGACUUAUUAUGGCACUAACUGAAAUUGUUCCCGUAACCAAAAUGGCAGCAGCAAGAAAAGGGGAGAAGAGGAGCAGCCUAAUCUACGCGCUCGCCAUCGAGCCUCCUGACCUCGUUCACUUUGUCCAUGAUGGGUGCGACGAUGGCCUUGAGCUCCUCAACAUCAGCACCCUCCGGCAGCUUCUUGGUGACAUGGGAGAGGUCGAUGCCCGGGUUGCGGAAGAGGACCUUCACCAACACCUUCUCCAGGACCCCGGCGCAGACGGCGCGCGACUCGGCGGCCAACUGCUUCGGGAUCCUUUCCCAGAGCUGCCGUAGCGCCGUCACCACGUCCUUGAAGAAAAGCGUGAGCUUAGCGCUGGGCUGGAGGUUCGCUUCUGUGGAAUACCCGAAGCCCGUCAAGUCCAGCUCCGCCAACUCCUCGUCAAUGAGCGUGGCGAUGUUGACGAGGCCUUCCGUCCAGAGCUCCACUGUGGUUUUAAGGGUGUUCUGAGCCUUGGCGGCCCUCGUCAACAGCUCCUCGUUGUCCUUGAGGUCCUUCCUCAGGGUAUCUUCUCGUUUCUUGGCGGCGUCCAGCGUCUCCGUCAAGGUGGCCAGUUUCAGCUCCAGAUCAGCACUCGAGUCCUUGACGGCGUUCAGCUCUUUGAUCCUCUCAGAGAGUUGGGCUUGCAGAUCGCCGUGGGCGCGCGCAUCCUCCUCACGAUCGCGCUGGAGUGCGGCAAGCUCCUCGUUCUUCCUCGUCGCGUCCGCCUCCAGCCGCGUCGCUUUUUCCUCCAACUCCUUCUUGGCGGCCUCGGCAGCCGCGGCGGCGUCUUUCGCUUCCUUGAGCGCCCCGCCAAGUGACUGUUCCCGGCCGGCGAGCUCCUCGUCGUGGCUGUCCAAGUACGCUUUCCUUUGUAUCAGCUCGCCGUCCCGCUUGGACAGCUCCUCGGCGGCAAGCCUCUGCUGCUCCUCGGCUUUAGCCUUUUCCAGGAUGAACGCCUUCUUCGCCUCGUCGAGCUGCGCAUCUGGGGUGAGCUCAGGAGGGAAAAGCACCCGCCUCUUGCGCAGCGCCUCGAGCUCUUGUGCCUCGGUCGAUUUCUCGGCCUUCGCGGCCUUCGUAGCCUUCCCGGCCUUCGGGGCCAUGGCGGGGGCAGCGGGGGGAGGCAGAAGCGGCGGCAGCGACGGCGGCUAUGGGCGGCAGAAGCGCUAUUUCUUUUUCUCGAUUCAGGAGACGGAGGAGGGCGUCGGAGCUUUCGGAGGAAGGAACCGCAAAUGGCGAAAGUGGGGGAACGGCCCUGUUCCCUCCGCUUAUAAACAGAGGAUGCGAACAUUACGCAUUCUCUGGAAUUAAGCGCCACCCACGUCUCCCACGACGCCGCAAUCGACGCGUGCCGUUGCGGGGGAGCGCGGUGGACACGGAGCCCGUUGCUGUGCGGACCCAGGCCACGUGUGCCCGUGCACUGUUUUGUGCCUGGCCCAACAACGCUCGGCACCGUGUAUGGCCCAGGCCCGGGGGCUCCUGUCGGUGUACUAAAGUAGGGGGUACCUUAGUACCCCGAACUUGUGCACGGGCAGUCGCAGCACCCCCGCGGCGGGGCUUGCCGGGCGCCCGGCAAGGCCCUCCACUCUUUAGUACUGCCAUUCAAGAACAAAGUACUAGCCAAGAACACGAAGGCCCCGGCAAGAGGAGCUUGCCGGGGAGGCCAACCAGGUCAUCACCAGAAGACUUGCCGUGGCGCCCCGCGCGCCCCGGCAAGGCCCGGCGGCCGGCAAGCUUGCCGGCACAACAAGAAAAGGGCCGCGGCAAGGCACUUGCCGCGGCAAGGCUGCCACCCGAACUCCAGCGCACCCGGCGACGUGUCGUUACAAGGCCAUCCCAAGGGCACGUGGCGAGGCGCUACGCAGCCAUGCGGAGCGAGGUGGCAAAUGGAGCUGACAGAGGCGCCAUCGUGGCAACCAGUGGCUCACCUAACGGUUGUUUCUUUACACUUUUGGGGCGACCAGACGGGCAUUUAAUGCCCUUGUCCCCUGCCGUCAGAGUUAGGUAGGGGCACUGUUGUGCACUGUUGUACCAACCUGCGUUUUUACCUUUCUACCCCCUCUUCCUACGCUGCCACCUGUGGGUCCCCCCUUCAGACUAUAAAAGGGAGGCCCAUGCGCACGUAGAAGGGGUUCGGUCCAUUCGACACCCACAGCACCACCAUACGCUCGCACACUCGAGCAAGAUCAAAUAACAAACACAAAGCAGCAGUAGGGGUGUUAUCUCUCCGGAGAGCCCCGAAGCUGGGUAAAGAUUACCCGUCUCCCCGCGCGCGCUCGACCUCGAUCUGCUCUGCGCACGAUCCCCGUUCCCUUGCCGAACCAGAAGGGGCCCCCAGUGCCCCAUAGGUGCUCGAGGCCACAGAGAUACGCCCCGACAAUCUUCACUCAACCAAACCUCAACCUCAGGCAAACUCGAUGGGUCGAAAUGAUUCAAGAGUACAAUCAAAGUAUUGAAUAUACUCCUGGCAAGGCGAAUGUGAUUGCAGAUGCCUUGAGUAGAAAGGCUUAUUGCAACAACUUAAUUCUCAAGCCCUUCCAACCGGAUCUUUGUGAAGCUUUCCGCAAGCUGAAUCUUCAAGUUGUUCCUUAAGGCUUUCUUGCCAACCUCAUAGUCUCUCCUACUUUGGAAGAUCAAAUUCGCGAGGCACAACUCCUGGAUACCAUGGUGAAGAAAGUGAAACGUGGUAUUGACAAGGGCAUUUCCAAAUACAAGUGCUAUCACUUGGAUGACAAAGAUACUCUUUUCUUCGAGGAUCGUAUUGUGGUUCCUAAAGGCAAUCUGAGAAAAGUCAUCAUGAAUGAGGCACACAAUUCUCUCCUAUCCAUUCAUCCUGGAAGUACGAAGAUGUACCAUGACCUCAAGCAGUCAUAUUGGUGGACUCGAAUGAAGCGAGAAAUUGCUCAAUUCGUGAGUGAAUGUGAUGUCUGUAGAAGGGUGAAAGCAGAACACCAAAGAACAGCUGGUCUCCUCCAACCUCUUGCUAUUCCAGAAUGGAAGUUUGAUCAUAUCAAGAUGGACUUCGUGACUGGUUUUCCUAAGUCCAAGCGUGGAAAUGAUGCCAUCUUCAUUGUCAUUGACAAGCUUACUAAAGUGGCUCAUUUUCUUCCUGUCAAAGAAUCUAUCACAGCAGCUCAGCUGGCAGAGCUAUACACCUCCAGAAUUGUCUCCUUGCACGGUAUUCCGCAAUUGAUCUCUUCAGACCGUGGAAGCAUUUUCACUUCUAAGUUCUGGGACUCCUUUCAGAAGGCCAUGGGCACCAACAUUCGUUUCAGCACAGCUUUCCAUCCUCAAACAAGUGGACAAGUCGAGCGAGUCAAUCAAAUCCUUGAAGAUAUGCUCAGGGCUUGUGUCAUUUCCUUUGGCAUGAAGUGGGAAGAGUGUCUCCCAUAUGCCGAGUUCUCCUACAACAACAGCUUCCAAGCGAGUUCGGGCAAGGCCCCAUUCGAAAUUCUCUAUGGCAGAAAGUGCCAUACUCCUCUCAACUGGUCCGAGACAGGUGAACGCCAACUUCUUGGCAACGACUUGAUCACAAAAGCCGAAGAAAUGUGCAAAGUCAUUCGUGAGAAUCUUAAAGCCGCGUAAUCGCGCCAGAAGGGCUAUUAUGAUGACAAGCACCGUGAUGUGGCUUUUGAAAUCGGAGACCAUGUCUACCUCCGUGUCUCUCCAAUGAAAGGCACUCGUCGCUUCGGUAUCAAAGGGAAGCUUGCCCCUAGAUACGUGGGUCCUUUCAAGAUCAUUGGCAAAAGAGGCGAUCUCGCCUAUCAACUUGAGCUUCCAUCCAACUUUGCAAACGUGCAUGAUGUGUUUCACGUGUCACAGCUCCGCAAGUGCUUCAAGAUUCCUGAACGCACUAUCAACUUUGAAGAAAUUGACCUCCAAGAAGAUCUCUCUUAUCAUGAGCACCCUGUUGCUAUUCUUGAAGAAACCGAGCGCAAGACUCGCAACAAGUCAAUCAAAUUCCUGAAAGUAAAGUGGUCACACCAUUCCGACCGAGAAGCCACCUGGGAGCGCGAGGAUGACCUCCGUUCCGAAUAUCCAGAGUUCUUUCAAUCCUAGAUCUCGGGACGAGAUCCUCUUGUAGUGGUGGAGUGUUGUAACACCCCGGAUGUAUCUUUCCAUAUUUGUAACUCCAACUCUUUCCAUUUUCGGAUAUGUGCUAUGAUAUUCCCUCCGUGGUUGGGUUUUGUUUUCGUUUUGCAUUUUGUCCAUGUCAUGCAUCUCAUAUCAUGUCAUCAUGUGCAUCUCAUAUGCAUACGUGUUCGUCUCAUGCAUCCAAGCAUUUUCCCCGUUGUCCGUUUUGCAUUCCGACACUCCCACAUGCACCGGCGCACUCCUCUUGUUCUUUUUCCGUGUGCGGGUGUUGAACAUUCUCGGAAUGGACCGAGCCUUGCCAAGUGGCCCUGGUAUAUCACCGGUAGACCACCUGUCAAGUUUCGGGUCAUUUGGAGCUCGUUUAGUACUCCAACGGUUAACCGCACUCUCGCAAAGGCCUCUUUUAAGUUGCAGCCCAACACCCCUCCAAAACAGCCCUAUAACCCACCUAAGUCACCUCCAUGCUCUCGGUCGUUCGAUCACGAUCGUGUGGGCGAAAACCGCACCCCAUUUGGAGUCUCCUAGCUCCUUCUACCUAUAAAAACACCCCCUCCCCCGGAUUUCCGGACGAAAUCCGGGCGGCCGGACACGUCCGCCCGCGCCGCCGGACGAAUCGCGCGCCGCCACGUGGGCAGCCCGCGCCCCACAUCGCNNNNNNNNNNNNNNNNNNNNNNNNNNNNNNNNNNNNNNNNNNNNNNNNNNNNNNNNNNNNNNNNNNNNNNNNNNNNNNNNNNNNNNNNNNNNNNNNNNNNNNNNNNNNNNNNNNNNNNNNNNNNNNNNNNNNNNNNNNNNNNNNNNNNNNNNNNNNNNNNNNNNNNNNNNNNNNNNNNNNNNNNNNNNNNNNNNNNNNNNNNNNNNNNNNNNNNNNNNNNNNNNNNNNNNNNNNNNNNNNNNNNNNNNNNNNNNNNNNNNNNNNNNNNNNNNNNNNNNNNNNNNNNNNNNNNNNNNNNNNNNNNNNNNNNNNNNNNNNNNNNNNNNNNNNNNNNNNNNNNNNNNNNNNNNNNNNNNNNNNNNNNNNNNNNNNNNNNNNNNNNNNNNNNNNNNNNNNNNNNNNNNNNNNNNNNNNNNNNNNNNNNNNNNNNNNNNNNNNNNNNNNNNNNNNNNNNNNNNNNNNNNNCGUCGCCUGAAGGUCGCCGCCCGUCCCCGCGCCGCCGCGCCGGAGCUCUGCCAGAUCCGGCCGGCGCCCCCAACUCCGGCGACCUCGACCCUCCGGAUCUCAGAUCCAAAACACUAGGUUGACUUUUCCCAUACCCCGAAAUCUCUCUAAGUCAUUUUCUGUAAUAAUUUUCGUGCAUUUUCAUCGCAUCACACCUCCGCAACCGUGGCUCCGUUUUGGGCUUAUAAUAUGUCAAAUUGUUUGCCUCGAAGAGUACAUCAUUUCGUUCCAUUGCAUCAUUUGCAUUUGAGCUCAUCUUGAUGCCCGAAAUGCUGUUGGAAGAGGGCUUCAGAUUGUUAGUUUCUGUUUCUUAACAGAACUUGCACUUUUAUCAUUUUUGCCAUGAUUAAUGUGUGCACCUUAUGAACUUGAGCCCUACAUGUGUGUUAAACUAUGCCAUGCCAUCUUUCCAGGGGUAUAUGCCAUGUAUUUUUGUGAGUUAUGUGGUGACUAGAACAAGCAUGCAAACUAGGGAUGAUAAUGUUGCUGAUUUCAGGAACUUAAAGUUUUCACUGUCUUGUCCUGCUGUUUUUUUUAUGCCAUAUGUUCAUAUUGUUACAGAGAGAUCCAUGCCCUUUUUGAGCAUGAUCAGUAAGGGUGUUUUGAACAUAUGGAUGUGCUCUAUCCAUCUAUGCCUUUGUUGGCAUUUAUGGAGUAGUCUAGAAUGUCAUUUUCGUGCUCUACUUUUGCUUGAAAAUGUUUCCUGGCAGAUUGCUUGCAUGAGAUUCAAUUUUCACGAGGUCGUUGUAGUUGAUCCGUGUAUGCUAUGAUGUUGUUCUUGCCAUGUAUAGCUUCUAUGCCAUGUCUUCUUAAUGGGUGUAUGCUUAGUUUAUCAUGAGAUGCUCUGUAGUGAGUGCAUCGAGCUCACGAACAUGCCUACUUGUUAUCUGUUUUUGCCAUGCCCAGUUUUCUGCUAAGUCUGAAAUCUGUAAUAAAAACUUGCUAUGUUUACAUGGGUGCCACCAUUUCUUAUGGUCCUUUUUGGCUUAUGGUCAGUAAGGGACUAUUGAUAUAUGCUUUGAGUAGAAUCAUGUCAUGCCUUGUUUUGCUAUUAUAAGUUCCUGUAGCUUGUUGUUUUCUUGCUCUAAACAUGCCUUCCUGAUGUUAAUUCCUGGCAUGCUAGUAUUUUCACUAAGUCUGUGAACCUGAUAUUUUU
rnacentral:lncRNA from 1 species